rnacentral:sRNA from 1 species
UCAUAUUAAUGUUCCGGCCGGCCUCUAU